rnacentral:rRNA from 1 species
CAGUCGCGUCUGCUGGGACUCAGCCUUGCUUCUGCUUGGUGCACUUCUCAGUAGAUGGGCCAGCAUCAAUUUUGGGCGCCGGAAAAGGUUAGGGAUGUGGCUCCUUCGGGAGUGUUAUAACCCUUAGCGGAAUGUGGCGAUUGGGAUUGGAGGUUUGCAACG